UCUGUGCGAAGGUAGCAUAAUCAUUAGUUCUUUAAUUGUGAUCUGGUAUGAAUGGCUUGACGAGACAUGAGCUGUCUUAAAGGUAUUAUUGUUUGAGUUUGGUUUUUGAGUUAAAAUUCUUAAAUGUUUUUAUGGGACGAGAAGACCCUAUAGAGUUUAAUAUUUCUCUUGCUAUAUGUUUUAUGUUUGUUUCUUAUUUUUAGUGGGCUAAGUAUUUUGUUGGGGUGAUGGGAGGAAUUUAUUUAACUCCUCUUUAUUUUUGUAUAUUUAUUUAUAUAUUUUUGAUCCAUUUAUUUUGAUUAUAAGAUUAAAUUACCUUAGGGAUAACAGCGUUAUCUUCCCU
rnacentral:rRNA from 1 species